rnacentral:rRNA from 1 species
AGCGAACGCUGGCGGCAGGCCUAACACAUGCAAGUCGAACGAACUCUUCGGAGUUAGUGGCGGACGGGUGAGUAACACGUGGGAACGUGCCUUUAGGUUCGGAAUAACUCAGGGAAACUUGUGCUAAUACCGAAUGUGCCCUUCGGGGGAAAGAGUUAUCGCCUUUACAGCGGCCCGCGUCUGAUUAGCUAGUUGGUGAGGUAAAGGCUCACCAAGGCGACGAUCAGUAGCUGGUCUGAGAGGAUGAUCAGCCACAUUGGGACUGAGACACGGCCCAAACUCCUACGGGAGGCAGCAGUGGGGAAUCUUGCGCAAUGGGCGAAAGCCUGACGCAGCCAUGCCGCGUGAAUGAUGAAGGUCUUAGGAUUGUAAAAUUCUUUCACCGGGGACGAUAAUGACGGUACCCGGAGAAGAAGCCCCGGCUAACUUCGUGCCAGCCGCCGCGGUAA